UACAGAGGUCUCAAGCGUUGUUCGGAUUCAUUGGGCGUAAAGGGUGCGUAGGUGGCGCCGUAAGUCAGGUGUGAAAUUUCGGAGCUUAACUCCGAAAUUGCAUUUGAUACUGCGGUGCUUGAGGACUGGAGAGGAGACUGGAAUUUACGGUGUAGCAGUGAAAUGCGUAGAGAUCGUAAGGAAGACCAGUGGCGAAGGCGGGUCGUCUGGACAGUUCCUGACACUGAGGCACGAAGGCCAGGGGAGCAAACGGG
rnacentral:rRNA from 1 species